CAAUAGGGAAUCUUCCACAAUGGACGAAAGUCUGAUGGAGCAACGCCGCGUGAGUGAAGAAGGGUUUCGGCUCGUAAAACUCUGUUGUUAAAGAGGAACAUAUCUGAGAGUAACUGUUCAGGUAUUGACGGUAUUUAACCAGAAAGCCACGGCUAACUACGUGCCAG
rnacentral:rRNA from 1 species